rnacentral:rRNA from 1 species
AUUGAACGCUGGCGGCAGGCCUAACACAUGCACGUCGAACGAGUGGCGGACGGGUGAGUAAUGUCUGGGAAACUGCCCGAUGGAGGGGGAUAACUACUGGAAACGGUAGCUAAUACCGCAUACCAUCGGAUGUGCCCAGAUGGGAUUAGCUAGUAGGGGGGGUAACGGCUUACCUAGGCGCCGAUCCCUAGCUGGUCCGAGAGGAUGACCAGACAGACUGGAACUGAGACAGGGUCCAGACUCCUACGGGUGGCAGCAGUGGGGAAUAUUGCACAAUGGGCGCAAGCCUGACGCAGCCAUGCCGCGUGUAUGAAGAAGGCCUUCGGGUUGUAAAGUACUUUCAGCGAGGAGGCGUUACUCGCAGAAGAAGCACCGGCUAACUCCGUGCCAGCAGCCGCGGUAAUUC